rnacentral:rRNA from 1 species
GUCGAACGAAGCCUUCGGGCUUAGUGGCGCACGGGUGCGUAACGCGUGGGAAUCUACCCAGGGGUCCGGGAUAACAGUUGGAAACGACUGCUAAUACCGGAUGAUGACUUCGGUCCAAAGAUUUAUUGCCCUUGGAUGAGCCCGCGUUGGAUUAGCUAGUUGGUGAGGUAAAGGCUCACCAAGGCGACGAUCCAUAGCUGGUCUGAGAGGAUGAUCAGCCACACUGGGACUGAGACACGGCCCAGACUCCUACGGGAGGCAGCAGUGGGGAAUAUUGGACAAUGGGCGAAAGCCUGAUCCAGCAAUGCCGCGUGAGUGAUGAAGGCCUUAGGGUUGUAAAGCUCUUUUACCAGGGAUGAUAAUGACAGUACCUGGAGAAUAAGCUCCGGCUAACUCCGUGCCAGCAGCCGCGGUAAUACGGAGGGAGCUAGCGUUGUUCGGAAUUACUGGGCGUAAAGCGCGCGUAGGCGG